AACGAACGCUGGCGGCAGGCCUAACACAUGCAAGUCGAGCGAGCAUUUCGGUGCUAGCGGCGGACGGGUGAGUAACGCGUGGGAACGUGCCCUUUUCUGCGGAAUAGUCCUGGGAAACUGGGGGUAAUACCGCAUACGCCCUUUUGGGGAAAGAUUUAUCGGAGAAGGAUCGGCCCGCGUUGGAUUAGGUAGUUGGUGGGGUAAUGGCCCACCAAGCCGACGAUCCAUAGCUGGUUUGAGAGGAUGAUCAGCCACACUGGGACUGAGACACGGCCCAGACUCCUACGGGAGGCAGCAGUGGGGAAUCUUAGACAAUGGGGGCAACCCUGAUCUGGCCAUGCCGCGUGAGUGAUGAAGGCCUUAGGGUUGUAAAGCUCUUUCAGCUGGGAAGAUAAUGACGGUACCAGCAGAAGAAGCCCCGGCUAACUCCGUG
rnacentral:rRNA from 1 species